UAUUGUUAUGAUAUUGUAAUUAUUGUAUUUAUUUAUGUUGGCCUGAUUUGUGUUGUGUGGCCUGAUAGUUGUUUACAGAAUAAUCUUAGAACUGUGCAGUUUAGAAAUCACUGGAACAAUUACAGAAUGAUUGGAACUUUCCAGAAUGAUCCUAAUAAAAGAUGCGUUAUAUAAACUUCUACAUUUUACUAGAAACUUCUGUUGUAACUUUCUAGGAUGUUCCAUUAUAGACUGUUCUAGAAUCUUCCAUGACAACUAUAUAUAUAUACAGACACUAAAGUUAAACACUCACUCUUGGACUUGGACUUAGACAUCGAUAGACAUUAGCAUUCACAGCAUUUGGAUUGACACUUUUAUUCUACAAACAACAUCAUACUGGAUUGUGACCUUAGUAGUGAACGUAAUAUUCAGAUUGGAUUC
rnacentral:lncRNA from 1 species